rnacentral:rRNA from 1 species
GUGGGGAAUAUUGGACAAUGGGGGAAACCCUGAUCCAGCCAUGCCGCGUGUGUGAAGAAGGCCUUUUGGUUGUAAAGCACUUUAAGCAGUGAAGAAGACUCCGUGGUUAAUACCCACGGACGAUGACAUUAGCUGCAGAAUAAGCACCGGCUAACUCUGUGCCAGCAGCCGCGGUAAUACAGAGGGUGCAAGCGUUAAUCGGAAUUACUGGGCGUAAAGGGAGCGUAGGUGGCUCGAUAAGUCAGAUGUGAAAUCCCCGGGCUCAACCUGGGAACUGCAUCUGAUACUGUUGAGCUAGAGUAUGUGAGAGGAAGGUAGAAUUCCAGGUGUAGCGGUGAAAUGCGUAGAGAUCUGGAGGAAUACCGAUGGCGAAGGCAGCCUUCUGGCAUAAUACUGACACUGAGGCUCGAAAGCGUGGGUAGCAAACAGG